ACGAACGCUGGCGGCGUGCCUAAUACAUGCAAGUCGAGCGGAGUUGAUGAGGUGCUUGCACCUCUGAUACUUAGCGGCGGACGGGUGAGUAACACGUGGGUAACCUGCCUGUAAGACUGGGAUAACAUUCGGAAACGAAUGCUAAUACCGGAUACGCGAUAUGGUCGCAUGAUCGAAUCGGGAAAGAUGGAGCAAUCUAUCACUUACAGAUGGACCCGCGGCGCAUUAGCUAGUUGGUGAGGUAACGGCUCACCAAGGCGACGAUGCGUAGCCGACCUGAGAGGGUGAUCGGCCACACUGGGACUGAGACACGGCCCAGACUCCUACGGGAGGCAGCAGUAGGGAAUCUUCCGCAAUGGACGAAAGUCUGACGGAGCAACGCCGCGUGAGUGAUGAAGGUUUUCGGAUCGUAAAGCUCUGUUGCCAGGGAAGAAUGCUUGGGAGAGUAACUGCUCCCAAGGUGACGGUACCUGAGAAGAAAGCCCCGGCUAACUACGUGCCAGCAGCCGCAGUAAAAC
rnacentral:rRNA from 1 species